GUUCUUCUUCUUCUUCUUCUUCUUUUUUUUUUUGUAGACUAGGGGAAGAAGAGUGCUUAUGUUUUUAGAAAGUGUGAUGCUUUUCUUUGACUGCCAAACUCUUUUAUGGAAUAUAUCUUUAUAUUAAUGCUGUUGUUUUGGUGGUUUUUGUUUGGAUCACAUCAAGAUGGCAUUAAGCAUCUCAGUAAACUCAGCUGCCAAGGGAACCAGUGGGAUGGGGGUGGCUAGACACGACAAAAUCAGAUGGUAAAUGCCAUCUAUUGUUGGCACAAUGUGAAAUAAAUUUUAUCAAGUGCUUUUGUAGGUUCUAUGAGCCACUUCCAAUUACCUUUUGUAUGGAGGUUACAGCUGGCACAAGCUGGCUUGUGGUUUAUGCCCAGCUAGAAGCACAAGGUAGAAAAACUUUGACUUCAUAGGCCUGCAAGAAACAUUAUUUUAGGUUCUCUCUGUCCAGCCCCAGGCAAUAGGAUCCAGGCAAAAGAGCUUGGAAGACACUGGGUUGGAAUCUGGGCUGCUGCGUGAGCUGUGUGUCCUGGACCUGCUGGCCUAUCUGUGGCAGGGAUUAGUGGCCAUGCCCACCUCGCCAGUUGCCUCCGACCCAGCCUUCCCUGGGGGAGUUGGUGGCCCCAGACCUUCCCUGCUGGUGUGUGGACGGCUCGUGGACAGCUCCUGCUGUCUCAUUUAUCAUGUAGACCUCGUAGAUGGAUCCUUUGCAAGUCUCAUCACAGGUCACAGCUCAGUUCAGGGUAAAGUCUAGCUGUGACUUUCAGAGUUGAGUUUAUUUACCUAUUAGUUUAUACAGCUUUUGGACCAUUUUUAGCCAUCUCAUCUGACUCUGAGUAGUUGGAUGAGGACAGAAGAGAAGCCUAGGAUUAAGGGUGUGCAUAUGGUGGUCUCUAACAAAUGGACUCUGUACAGAGCCCGGUGCUGCCCUCCGGUUCCUCCCCACCCAGCCUGCCCCGAAUCCCCACCCACCCCCAUCUUCAUACGGGGAUAGAGGCCAGUGUGGGAGUUCUGCACUUCCCCUCCUAGUCCCCCAUACAUACUUUAAAGUUUCAGGGUCUUUCCUUAUCUUUCCUAUGCCCUCCUGCCCAGCUUUGCUGUAUUAUUUUUCCCCACCUCCUCUCCCUCUCAAACCAUCACACAGAUUCUUAUCCCAACAAGUUUUCCCUGGCCCUCUCGCUUUCCCCCCUUUCUUUCCCAAGCAGCUUCUUGUCUGGGCUCUCUGCACCCCUCCCCACCACAAUACACCACUUUCCUCACUUGACUAAAAGCUGCUCACCCUGGUCACCAAACUCAGCAUCUUUCUUAACCUCUGCAAUAUCUAACAGGCUUGACCAUCCCUUCCUCAGAAUCUUAGCUGCUUUGGCCCAGCAGAGGUAGGAGGCCUCAGCCCAGCAGCAGGGGCCAUCUGAUCACUUCUUGGCCGGCAGCCUAAGCAUGGACUGCAGAGGCACCGAGGGGGAGGGGCUGUUGCAGCAGUCCCAGCAGCCAAGGACUGUCCUGGGAAGGGCCUGCCCAGGCCUCAGGUCCUCAGCCCUGUGCCCCAGGGGUCAGGUGCCCUCAGCUGUACUGGAUGAGUGGGAUGGCUGUGUGACCUUCACGGGUAGACUUUUCCAGCUCUAGGGUCUGUGUUUUUAAGUCAUCUGUCCUUAAACUGUGGUAACCUGUCCCCAGCGAUAGAGGUUGGUAGAGGUGCUUUUCUGUGCUUGUGUCUGUCAUCCAAGAGGAUGCUGCCCAACCUUCCAGGGCAGGCUGGGCCUGUUGUAGCACUGUUGUCAUUCAUUUGGGUGCACACUCCAAAAAUCCAGAGACCCAUAUACCUUCAGGGCCUUUUUAGCUCCUUGUAAGUCAGCAUAACCUAGCUUUUCAUCCUCAAAGACUGCCAUAAAGGUAUGUUCAUUCUCACCAUACUUUUGGGGUCUCCAAGUUACCUCAGAAACCCCAAAGUGAACACGAGAUCAAGUACUGUGGUACAAAUUUGCGGGGGAGAAGAAAAUGAGGGGACAUUUAAGUGAAUACUGUUCUGCUGAAGUUACCAAUUUUAGAGAUCCCAGCUUUGGAGAAGGAGGAAGUAAGUAUUUCUGACAAAGUCCUGAGACAAUUCUUUCUUCACUGUGCUUUCUUCCUGUGCUCUGUAUUUUAUAUUUCAGCAGGGGCUUCAAAAGCAUGGUUUAAUAACCACCAAAAUAAAUUAUCACUUUGGAUGAUAAUUUUAUCACCUCGCACUUUUAAACUAGGCUCUCUUUUUAAUUUAUAAGUAAAAGCAAUUUAAGCAUAGGAGAGUGUAAAGUAUGUCUUCUGUUCCCCAGAGGCAACCACCAUUAAGUACCCUUCCAGAAAACAUUCAUGCGUAUUCAGAUAUCUUAUCUUUGUCACGUAAAUGAGAAUCAUAUUUUAUAUAGUAUUCUACAAUUAAUUUUGCUUAAUGUACCUCAGAACUAUUUCUCUAUUGGCUCAUACCCAUCCAUUCCAUGGUGCAUUUUCAGUCACACUGUCCGUUGCAGAACUGCCACAAGUGAAUGAACCUUGCUCUGUACAGGGGAGUAUGUUUACAGUCCCAGGUAACAGAAACCCAGUUCAAACUGGUCUAAACAAUGAGGGGAGGUUUUUGGCUCCUGAAGCUGGAAAGUCCGGAGGUGGGGUGAGUUUCAGGGUUGGUUUGAUCGGAGUGGCUUAGUGAUGUCAACAGGAUCUGGUUUCCUUUCUCCUCUCUGCUCUGCCUUCCACGGUGUUCCCAUCACCCAAGGCAGCGGGAGGGGAGACCCUCCACAGACAACUUCUGGCCUCACUCUGGUGGGUAUGGCAUGGGGGUGAAGCCAUUGAGGGCAGCCUCCCUUCCCCAAUCCCCUGUGCUUGUCCAUCGCACUGAAAACGCACGGCAGGGAAAACAGGCUUUUAUGGAAGGGGAUAAACACUGGGGAGACUGCCAACAACCCCUGUUACUCUUCUGUGGGUGGAUGUUUUACUUGGUGCAGUGUUUUGCUCUUACAAGGGCUUAUAAAAACCCCGUGGUAUGUUAUUAUUUGAAUUACUUCCUAGAAGGGUUUGUAAGAAAAACACGUUUUUUAAAGUUCUCCAGCAAGGUGGGCUAAUAUCGUAAUAAGCGAGUACUCAGAGUUGGGACGUGCCUGUUACUGCCAGGCCAUGGCUGCUAUGUGUGGCGUAUGGACUGGCUGUGGCCAAAGAGGUGGCUGGUCGGGGCACAGUGAUGUCUCUCCAAGGACUACCCCAGUAGCCUGUGGCCUACAACAGCACAAAUUCCACAGGGAGGCUGAGCCAGAUAGGCAAGGGAGCCCAAACUCUCUGCCUAUGCCUUGAGAGAUGGCUGGUCACUAGGAACAGUGAUUUUGGGUGGUAUUCUUAUGUGCAGGUAAGGACAUACACUCGAGAUUCAGUGCUAUCCCGAGGUUGCUCAGGGAGUAAGCUGUAGACCCUGGGCAGACACAAGCCUGGCAUUUGCCAGCCUGGCUAUAGCUCUAGGAUGUGGCACUUGUGAUUCUGGGAGAAGCCUCAUCUCACUGAAUGCCCUGUUGCCUUGUGAUGGGGCUUUGGGGUCAGACAGCUCACUGCUUGAUCACUGCCCCCUGACGUCUGGUUUGCUUCUGCUACUGGAAGAGGAGAUGUGUGACAUGUGACCCAGGGUAAGCGCGGGGCGGCGGGGCGGGGGGAGGCGAAACAGGGAGAUCUUCGCUCUGGGGGAGUGCCUCCCCAGUGGAGAUGAGGAUGGGGCUGUGGUGGGAUCUUCUAUUUCCUCUGUGGUGCCAGGCCGAGUCCUUUGCGUUAGGACUUGUGGUGGGGAGUUCUGAGCCUGAGUUUGAACUUGGGCUCAAAAACAAAAACAAAACACCUUAGUGCCGCAGUUUCUUUAUUAAUAAAGUGGAGAUAAUUGUCUUUAUUUCACAAGGUUUCUGGGAGUAUUACAAGAGUGUAGAUGAAAGAGCUUGAUAAACUAUCGAAUCCCCAGCCACUCACCAGCCCUCCUGGCCUUUGGCAAGUUAUUUAACCUCUCUGAACCCUUUAUGUAAAAUGGGGAAAACAAUACCCCCACAUGGGGUUUUAAGGAUUAAACGAGAUGAAGCGGAUAAAGCGUUUUAAUAUAGGCACCCCCAACCUUAUUGCUUAUAUAAUUAUUGAAGAGGUUUUAUCAGUAGCCCGUAGUCCCCACCAGGCUGAGCUGCCUGGGUUACAUGUGACACGGUUCAAACUUCCAGUCAGGCUGAAAUGAAAUGACUGACUUCCCUAUCCUUUUAAGAACAAGGCCUCGAGGUCUAUGGGGAGCAUUUGGAGUUCAAGAACUGUUUACUUUCUGUGGCAUAGGGUCAGGGUGGCGGGAGAGGGAGUUUCUGCUUGUCUGGAGUGUGAGUCCUGUUAGGAACAAAUAUAGCCCAAGAAGUUGCCCCUCAAGUUCCCAGAGGAAACAAAGUGGCCCUCAUGAGCCAAAGGGAAUAGGGCUAUCUGCAGAGGCCAGGCCAGGAGAGCUGGCAUAGGGGCCAUAGCCUGCCUUCCAGGAGGGAUGGUCUGUAGGAAAAUGGGGUUAGAGUAGCUUGGAAUGGGAUGGAGGCAAGGGUCUGGAAGCAGGCAUCGCUCUGAAAAUUGUAGGACAUCAUGUCUGGAUGAGGUGGGUAGUGGAAAUGCUGGGACCUGCCCAAGGCCUUGGAGUGUGGGGCUGAGACCAGUGAAGGGGCCUGAAGCUGAGUCCAGUAGGCCCUCCGUUCCCUUCUCAUUUCUUGGACAGCCUAAGUGGACUAGAAUCCUGGUCAGGGAGGGAGGGAAGGAGGGAGGGAGUGUGUGUGUGUGUGUGUGUGUGUGUGUGUGUGUGUGUGUGUGUGUGAGAGUGACAGAGACAGAGAAGUAAGUGCAUACGUGCACAGGCUCCCGCUGUGCUUGCUCAUGCAUCCUCCACCUUCCAGGGGAAUUUCUUUGUCUAAAAACAUGCGGGAAGUCCCCCAGGGUCAGGAAAGCAGCCAGGUAAACAGUGUCUGCAUCAAGGUUCUGUUCUGAGGCAGGGUGAGCCCUGCGAUCUCCAGCCUCCAGCGCUGCCUAGCCUGAGUGUCCUCGCUCCUUCCUGUGCCUUUGUAAGGAGCCCUGGGUUGCUGGCCCUGUUUGCUGAUGAUUCUUUGGUCAUUCACCUGUUGUGGUGGAGCAGGCAUGCUGUGUUUUCUUUUAGUUUUGGGUCUGUUUUUCUUAUGUUUUAAAAAUGCACACAGCUGUCAUCCAAUAUGGAAAGAAUUGGAGUGGCCUCUGGGAGGGACUGAGCACCCUGUCCCUGCAUGAGGCAAGCCCAGUGUAGAUGCCUCCUUUUGGGGGUGAUGUGAAUGGGGCUGGGAGUGGGUUUUGUGUUGCACGGACUGUGGCAAGUCUUCCUCUCCCUGAGCGGUAGUGGUCCUUCCCAUUCCCUCUGUUAGAGAUACUUGAAAAAAAUGGCAUUGCUCAUAUAUAUAUGUUAUAUAUGUACACAUCAAAGGCUUUAUUUCAUUUAUUAAAUGAGGGAGCGGGUAAGAUUAACAACCGGUUUAAAGAGGAAAUCACAAUGAACUCUAAGUUUAUAUGGAGUAAAGGGAUGUUGAGACUGGCAUUGUUUUCAGUGGAAAGGGGUCUAUUGAGCCUCAUUCAGAUGUACUGUAUGCAUGUCCAUAGACAAAUAUUUUGCAUGAACUCUACAACUUCGGGAGUUGUAGAAUAGCUCAAAGGCAACAACAGUCUAGAAUCAGAAUCAGAUAAGUGGGUGUGCUCUAAACUGCAUAAUUUUUCUCUGCAGACCCUCAGAAUCUUUUUUUGCUUAUCCAAAUUUCCUUUCACUUCUUGUCCAUCUGGCAGAGCCUAUUUUUUAAAAUAAGACUCAGGCAAGAGAUCCAAAAGAGCCAAUCUCUCACUGCACAGUGAAGCCUGGGGGCUAGGGUAUCUGCCAGGGGCCCUAGGUAAGGGGCACCAUUGUGGGAGGUUCCCUGCCCUGGAAACACUAGCUGCCUUCUCAUUCGUGACUGAUGACUCAGGCCAUCUGCUGCCCAGAGAGCCUGGGUAUCAGCGAAGCUACUUUAAACUGGAUCUCUGUCUAUUCCUGUAGACACCUCAGUCAUCAGAUCCAAAACUGAAUUUCUCGUCUUUCCUAACCCCAAAUCCCGCCCACACCCACACUCCUCCCCAUCUUCUCCCAUGUCACCUAAGGGCACCCCCAUCUACCAGUGGCCAAAUCUAGGAUUGUGAGUUUUGCCUGGGCUCUAAGGAUGACAUCAGCUCCUCCAUAGACAAGAUCAGGUCACCUAUUCAAAAACUUGACACUCUCAUCUAACCAACAGAUCCUAACACUUCACUCCCUAGAACAACUGUCAUGACAGAGCUCAAUGUCAUUCUCUUUUUCCUUCUGAAUGAGUCCUGGGACUCCUUGUUUGUAAUAUGUACAUUUGAAUAUCUUUUCAAGCAUAACUGCAUUUUGAAGUGAGUUUACCUCCCUUCUCUGUGGAUCUGGUCAGUGCUGGCUCCCUGAGAGCCAGGGAGCCGUGUGUAUGUGUGUGUGUGUGUGUGUGUGUGUGUGUGUGUGUAUCAAAGAAACAAAAAAAACAAUUUGGGGCAGGGUGGUCCACAGCCUCCUGUUGUGUGGCUUUCUCAAUCACUUUUUCUGCUUUCAUCUAUACCAGUCAGGAUCCCUGACUUCUAGUCGUGUUAUAUGGAGCAACUGAGCUCACCCCAGCUUGCCUCCCAAAUGUGCAUAUCCAAACAUAGCGACGUUUCUAGAUCUUGGGCCUUUCCUUUUAAUUGUAUCUCUUUACUCUCCUUAGAAUGAAGUGGUGGUUAAAAUGUUGUUUUCCCUGAUGUAUAAAACUUGGUCCAUACUACACAUAAUAUUUUACAGCUUGCUUUCCUCCUUAGUAAUACAGUGUGAGCACCCUUUUAAGCCAACAAAAAUUUUUCUCAGUAUCAUUUCUAAUGGCUGUAGAGCAUUUUAUCCUGAGAUGUGCGAUGAUUUAUUUAUCUAAAUUCUGUUUAUUGAACUCAUCAAUUAUUUUGAAAUUUUCACUACUAAUAAUGUGGUAAUUAUUCUUAUAUAUGCCACAGAAUCCCCAGAGAUCAUAACUUCUGAGGGAUGUCCUGGUAGGAUCCAGUAACAGGAGAGGAUCUAGUUAAUUAUAUCUGUUCUGCUUAUUGAAUGAAUAUCCAUCUUCUCCCUCAUAUUAUUUACCAUCAUUUUGAUCAUAUAUUAAAUUAUUACAUAUGUAUUUAGAUCUGCACCUGGGCUCUCUCACUUCAAUCUGCCCAUUCUUGUGUCAUAACUGAAAUGUUUGAUUAUAUACAUUUGAAGUAGAGUUUACUUUUCCUCAUUAUUCUGUAGGCCAUUCUCAUUCUGUUCUUUGGCUAAUAUGGGAGUCAUUUUAUCAAGCCUCUCUCCCACUUCCCAAUUAAUUUUUAGGUUUGGCUUGAAAUUGUAUUCAAUGUAUAAAUUAAUUUGAGAUUUUAUUAGCCAUGUAUGAAUGCAGAACCUGGAAAUUUAGCAUUUUAAAACAAUGCAUAUACAUAUAUAUCCAUCUCCUACCCUUUCUGAGGGUCAGGGAUCUAGGAAUGGCUUUGCUGAGUGAUUCUGCCUCAGAGUCCCUGGUGGGUUUCAGUGCAGCUGUUGGCCAGGGUUGCAGCCUCACCUGACCAGAUCCUCUGCCAACUUUGCUCAUGUGACUGCUGGCAGAGGCUUUAGUUCCUCACCAUGUGGGUCUUACAACAUGGUUUCCCCAGAGUGAGUGAUGAAGGGAGGAGAGAGAACCCAAAACGGAAGCAGAAAUGUCUUUUAUCACCUAAUCACAAAAGUGACAGAUCAUCACUUCUGGCAUAUUCCAUUGAUCGCACAGACCAGCCCUGAUAAGUGUGAGAGGGGCCACACAGGGCCAUGAAUGCCAGGAGGCAGGGAUCAUCAGAGCCACCUUGGAUGCUUACUAACACGAACUGCACACUUUUCAGUAUUAGAUCUUUCUGAUUGUGAAUGUGUUAUGUUCCUAUACCAAUUUAAAUCCUAAAUAUGUUCUCUUCAGUGAAGAUUUUUACUUUUCUUCAUACAGGUCCCCACAUUGUUUGUUAAAUUCAUUCCCAGUAUUUCAUAUCUGGUUCUGAUUUGAACGAGAUCUUUUUUACAUUGUAUUUUCUAAGCAGUUACUUGUUGCAGUCAUACAGGGACACCAUUGAUUUUUAAGGCCAUGAUUUUUUCAGUAGAGCUUAACUGGUGAUAAGGCAGAAACUGCUCUAGACUUUCACUAAGCCCUUAGAUAACAAAACUGAGACCAGGUGAGAUCCUAAAUGUGCUCUUGGGAGCAGUUUCUCCAAGUGACUAUGUGCUGGGGACGUGGGUGAAAUAUAAAAAGAGUUCUCCUGUAGCUGAUCCUUAUGUGGCUGUGGUGAGGCAUUCCCAAAGCCAAGAUGAUGGGGUUCUUUGGACAUCACUUAGCUCUGCCUUUGAGGGAGCCUAUGGUCAGGGCACGAGGGAACAGCCAGGGCAGGUGGCCUAUGGCAGGGCUAUCAGUCCACCUAGUACCCCACGGAUGCAGCCCAUAUGCCCAUGACUCCCAGGUCCACGUUUCCAGCAACCUCUCCCUAGAGUCCUGUCCUGGACACCUCCUCAGCAUUUGCACAGGCUCUAAUUAAUUCCUCUACGAAAGUUCCUUCAUUCAUUUUCUUUUCCAAUAGGUAUUUUUCUAGCACCUACUGCAUGCCAAGCGAUGUUCUAAGCCCUGAGGACAUCAGUGAAACACCUGCGUCCUUGUGGUGCUUGUUCUCUACUAAGGAGAGAGAAAAAUGCAACAAAUAAGUAAAAUGCCUGAUGUGUCUGUGGAAAGCCAAGGAGGAGGAUGGUGAUGGUGAGGGAAGGAGCGUGGUGGGAGGGGCUAUCUUAGGAGGCAGAGGUAGGCGGGGUAGAGAGGGGUAGCGAUACAGAUGAUCAAGGGCUUUAUGGGUCCCUGUAAAGACUUGGGCUUGGACUCUGAAUAAAAUAGGAGCCACUGCAAGGUUUACAGUAGGGAAUGACAUGAUCUGAUUUAAAAAGAUUUUAGGUGGAAGCAGAGAUAUAUGAUAUGAGGCUCUGGGAUGAGGAUUGUUUCCCAUUUCUGCCCUCCUUGGUCCCCACUGGCAACUCCGCUACGGUCCUUAUCUCAGCUCUCCUAGACUUUGGCCAAAGUCCGCUGACUAUUCUCCUUGCUUCUUGUUCUUCCAGUCUCCUCUCCACAUCAGUGCCAGAGCUGUCUGACAAAUGCCUCCAAGCCCUUCUCCAGCUUAGAAACCUCUGGUGACAUAAACUGUUUAUCCAUUCCAACAGUCUAGCCUUCUUGGUUAAGGAGGUUUGGCUUUGCUCACCUCUGUUCCUCUUUGGGGGUUGGUGCCAUUGUAAACAACGCUGUGCAUGCGGCUCCCUGGCUCACCAGCACUAACCUCUGGAGGCCAAUUUUUUGGAGUCACAUUUUUAGGACUUUUGAAAUAUAUUUUAUUUCAGUCAUAUGAAUUAUAUGUGUAUCUUAUUCACUGGAUAAAACAAUAUGAAAUUAUCUAACGUGGUCUCCCUUCCCCUUCCAAGAAGAAAGCAAAAAAACCAUGUGUGUUCCUCCAUAAUUUUUCCUUUGUCCACACAAAAGUAAUCAAAUAUAAAGACGUUAAAAAAUGGA